rnacentral:rRNA from 1 species
GACGAACGCUGUCGGCGUGCUUAACACAUGCAAGUCGAACGGAAAGGCCCUGCUUUUGUGGGGUGCUCGAGUGGCGAACGGGUGAGUAACACGUGAGUAACCUGCCCUUGACUUUGGGAUAACUUCAGGAAACUGGGGCUAAUACCGGAUAGGAGCUCCUGCUGCAUGGUGGGGGUUGGAAAGUUUCGGCGGUUGGGGAUGGACUCGCGGCUUAUCAGCUUGUUGGUGGGGUAGUGGCUUACCAAGGCUUUGACGGGUAGCCGGCCUGAGAGGGUGACCGGCCACAUUGGGACUGAGAUACGGCCCAGACUCCUACGGGAGGCAGCAGUGGGGAAUAUUGCACAAUGGGCGGAAGCCUGAUGCAGCAACGCCGCGUGCGGGAUGACGGCCUUCGGGUUGUAAACCGCUUUCGCCUGUGACGAAGCGUGAGUGACGGUAAUGGGUAAAGAAGCACCGGCUAACUACGUGCCAGCAGCCGCGGUGAUACGUAGGGUGCGAGCGUUGUCCGGAUUUAUUGGGCGUAAAGGGCUCGUAGGUGGUUGAUCGCGUCGGAAGUGUAAUCUUGGGGCUUAACCCUGAGCGUGCUUUCGAUACGGGUUGACUUGAGGAAGGUAGGGGAGAAUGGAAUUCCUGGUGGAGCGGUGGAAUGCGCAGAUAUCAGGAGGAACACCAGUGGCGAAGGCGGUUCUCUGGGCCUUUCCUGACGCUGAGGAGCGAAAGCGUGGGGAGCGAACAGGCUUAGAUACCCUGGUAGUCCACGCUGUAAACGGUGGGUACUAGGUGUGGGGUCCAUUCCACGGGUUCCGUGCCGUAGCUAACGCUUUAAGUACCCCGCCUGGGGAGUACGGCCGCAAGGCUAAAACUCAAAGGAAUUGACGGGGCCCCGCACAAGCGGCGGAGCAUGCGGAUUAAUUCGAUGCAACGCGUAGAACCUUACCUGGGUUUGACAUGGAUCGGGAGUGCUCAGAGAUGGGUGUGCCUCUUUUGGGGUCGGUUCACAGGUGGUGCAUGCCUGUCGUCAGCUCGUGUCGUGAGAUGUUGGGUUAAGUCCCGCAACGAGCGCAACCCUUGUUCACUGUUGCCAGCACGUUAUGGUGGGGACUCAGUGGAGACCGCCGGGGUCAACUCGGAGGAAGGUGGGGAUGACGUCAAGUCCUCAUGCCCCUUAUGUCCAGGGCUUCACGCAUGCUACAAUGGCUGGUACAGAGAGUGGCGAGCCUGUGAGGGUGAGCGAAUCUCGGAAAGCCGGUCUCAGUUCGGAUUGGGGUCUGCAACUCGACCUCGUGAAGUCGGAGUCGCUAGUAAUCGAAGAUCAGCAACGCUGCGGUGAAUACGUUCCCGGGGCC